UCCGAGUUGACCCCGGCAGUCUCCCAUGAGUCCCCGCCAUAACGCGCUGGCAACAUGGAACGAGGGUUGCGCUCGUUGCGGGACUUAACCCAACAUCUCACGACACGAGCUGACGACAGCCAUGCAGCACCUGUGCACGCUCCCGAAGGUCGGUUGGGUUUCCCCGCCCUACCACGUGCAUGUCAAACCCAGGUAAGGUUCUUGGCGUUGCGUCCAAUUAAACCACAUGCUCCGCUGCUUGUGCGGGCCCCCGUCAAUCCCUUUGAGUUUUAAUCUUGCGACCGUACUCCCCAGGCGGAAUGCUUAAUGCGUUAGCUGCGCCACCGACGAGCAAGCUCGCCAACGGCUGGCAUUCAUCGUUUACGGCGUGGACUAC
rnacentral:misc_RNA from 1 species